AGACUCUAUGAAACCCUGUGGGACCUGAAUGAAAGACCUUGAGAUGGCAGAUCCAGUGCAGGUAGGACCUAAGUGGUGUGGCCUACUUGCACCUUGGGGGAGAUUAUUGGAGGUGGGAGGCUCGGUAGUCCCUCCGGUAAUAGGUACAUGGCCUACGAAUAUUAUAGCCAACACAAUGCUUGUGCCAGGGAACAUGAAGGUGCAAAAUUUGGAGGUAGGGUGGUAAACACAUGGACAUUUUGCCCAAAUGUCAUGGUCAUUACCUAAGGGCUCACAUCAACACAACAGAAAGGCUAGUGUGUAUGGUAGUUCAUGGUCAGCCCCACACUUUAACUAGUAAGCUUGUUUAGU
ensembl:lncRNA